rnacentral:rRNA from 1 species
GACGAACGCUGGCGGCGCGCUUAACACAUGCAAGUCGAACGGAAAGGCCUGCUUUCCCUUGUGGAUUGCGGGUACUCGAGUGGCGAACGGGUGAGUAACACGUGAGUGAUCUGCCCCCAACUUGGGUAUAAGCCUGGGAAACUGGGUCUAAUUCCCGAUAGGACUGCAGGGUGGUGCCUGUGGUGGAAAACGAUUUUCUAGUGGUUGGGGAUGAGCUCGCGGCCUAUCAGCUUGUUGGUGGGGUAAUGGCCUACCAAGGCGGCGACGGGUAGCCGGCCUGGGAUGGUGGACGGCCACAUUGGGACUGAGAUACGGCCCAGACUCGUACGGGAGGCAGCAGUGGGGAAGAAUGCACAAUGGGCGGAAGCCUGAUGCAGCGACGCCGCGUGGGGGAUGACGGGCUUCGGGUUGUAAACUCCUUUCGACCGAGAGGAAGCCACCUGGUUGGAAGGGUGGUGACGGUAGUGGUAGAAGAAGCACCGGCUAACUACGUG